rnacentral:lncRNA from 1 species
ACUGGUGUCACAGGGGACAGCACGUCUGAGGCAGGACAUGCACCUCAAUUCCUCCAUCCACUUUGUAGUUCUUGCUGAUAUGAGUAGUGAGGGUCAGCUGUGAGCCAUGUGAAUGAUGGCUAAAUAACUAUGAAAUUCCCUUUUCCUGGCACGGUGUUGUUUUAAGGCUUAGUGUUUUUCUUCCUCUUUUUGUUCUGUGACACUUUCCUCUCCGUGCUCUUUAUCACUUACAACUCCCAGUGACUUUUCCUCCUGCAGUCAGCAGAGGGAGAUACGUCCCUUACAUAAAACUACAACAAAUUAGACACGGAAUCGUGCUCACUCCUUGUGCACUCACAGGGCCCUCUGCAGCUCAGCUUGUGAGACUGAGGAGCCGCUGUCACAGGUGCCAUCUCUACACCGUGUAACUGUGGGCUUUCCCCACCCAGCAGUGCAGAUCUCCCCCAUGAUGUCACAGUCUGGGAGGUGACAAAGGGGAGCAGCCCGAAGCCCCUGGAGAAGCAGCGCUGUGUCCGCCAUGUGGGUCACGCUGCUCUUCUUGGUGCUCUUCCUGCCUCCGACUGUGAUGACCAGAGCGUUGAUUUUCCCUUUCCGUGAUCUUGAGCAGGAUCCGUCAAGGAGGCAUUCGCAGAAUUUGCAACAGCACUCAGAUGCCCUUUCUGCCGAAGGAGAUGAAGAGAAGAUCUCUGAGGAAGCAGAGGCACUAGAAUCCAGAUUUGGACCCCAUUAUCGUGCCCUACAGAACUACAAUGAGGAGCAGCCUUUGAAUGUGUUGGACAACGCUGAUUUGAUUCAAGGGAACAAAACUGCUGUAGUCAUAGAAGAAUGUUUUAAAGAGAAUGUGAUUCUUGCUGCGUCAUCUAUAGCUCUUGUGAUGUUCUUUGUACUUCUGGCUUCUAUUUGUGUGUUUUUUACAAAACGCAGGAUGAAAAAAGGAUACCACAGGCGGAGCUCAGGAAGGCGGGCAGACGCUCCCCAGCAGCCAGAGGUGCUGCGGCCUUCCCCAGCGCUGUGGGCCGCCCUGGGCCUGCCUUUGUGAGGGUCCAGCU